UACGUAGGCAGCGAGCGUUGUUCGGAGUUACUGGGCGUAAAGGGUGUGUAGGCGGUUGUUUAAGUUUGGUGUGAAAUCUCCCGGCUCAACUGGGAGGGUGCGCCGAAUACUGAAUGACUCGAGUGGUGGGAGAGGUGAGUGGAAUUCCUGGUGUAGCGGUGAAAUGCGUAGAUAUCAGGAGGAACACCGGUGGUGUAGACGGCUCACUGGACCAUAACUGACGCUGAGACACGAAAGCGUGGGUAGCAAACAGG
rnacentral:rRNA from 1 species